rnacentral:rRNA from 1 species
CGAACGCUGGCGGCGUGCUUAACACAUGCAAGUCGCACGGAAAGGCCCUGCUUUUGUGGGGUGCUCGAGUGGCGAACGGGUGAGUAACACGUGAGUAACCUGCCCUUGACUUUGGGAUAACUUCAGGAAACUGGGGCUAAUACCGGAUAGGAGCUCCUGCUGCAUGGUGGGGGUUGGAAGGUUUCGGCGGUUGGGGAUGGACUCGCGGCUUAUCAGCUUGUUGGUGGGGUAGUGGCUUACCAAGGCUUUGACGGGUAGCCGGCCUGAGAGGGUGACCGGCCACAUUGGGACUGAGAUACGGCCCAGACUCCUACGGGAGGCAGCAGUGGGGAAUAUUGCACAAUGGGCGGAAGCCUGAUGCAGCAACGCCGCGUGCGGGAUGACGGCCUUCGGGUUGUAAACCGCUUUCGCCUGUGACGAAGCGUGAGUGACGGUAAUGGGUAAAGAAGCACCGGCUAACUACGUG